rnacentral:lncRNA from 1 species
GGGAUGUGUUUAUCCUACAAUAAACCAUAAAUGAAUGAAUCUUGAAAAUAACAGUUUUGGGUUCUUAUAAUUUUCUGUCCCCACAGAGAAUGUAAAACAUCAGAAGGACAGAAUCAUAAAAACAAUUCCUCUGAUACAAAGCAGGCAAUUCCAUCCCUCCCUAUUUCUAACUUGAGAGGAACAUGAAGCAUACAACCAGCAAGGGAAAAAGUGAGUGUGGGGAACGUCUGGGUUCUUUGCCUCCUUUAUAAAAUGGCCAAAUGUUUGCUAAUUAUAACAUACCCUGGGAAUUUGCUUGGUAUCAAUUCUUUAUAUAAAAAAAAUAAUGAAACUUUAAAAAAAUACAAAUGGAAAUGGAGUGUCAUCUUUAUUUCAAUGAGAAAGGUUGGUCAAAGAGUUCCUUCAGAGAAAUUCAUUGUCACCUCAUUUCAAGUAAAUGGAGAUAUAAUUCAAAUGGUGGCUUAAGUUUUUCCACCAUAACUCUAAGAAUGGAUGCUAUUCCUGUUGGAAUGUGGGCUUUGAUGUUACCUAGACUAAAAAGUAUUGUUACAAAUCAGCAGUUUUUAAACUUCAGCAUACAUUACAGUUAUGAUAAUGAUGGGCUCUAAUCCAAAUUUCUAUUUGGUAUAUCUUGACAUGAGGUCUGAGAAUUUGGAUUUUUAAUUAUAAUGCACAUAUUCUGCUGUUCCUUCUGUAAUAUAGAUGAUACAUUGGGACCCUAACUCUAAGCAAUAUUAUAUAUUGAAAGGAAAUAUGACCAUAUCACAGUGGUAAAGAAAUUUAUAAAUGUGAAAAUUGCCAGAUUCAACAUAAUGUGUGUAAUGUUGAGAAAACUGAUGUGAAGAGACUACACAGAACUCUGUAAUGUAUUAGAAUAAAAUAUUUCAAAUAAACUCAGCAGGUAGAUAUUUUAAUCAGCUUUUCAUCACUGUGAUCAAAAUACCUGAUAUAAACAACUUAAAGGAGGAAAGAUUUAUUUCAGCUCACAGUUUCAGUCCAUGGUCAGCAAGAUCCGUUGCCUUGGGCCUGAGAUGAAGCAGAACAGCUGGAAGGGCAUGGCUGAAGAAAGAACGCUGUUCAGCUUAUGGCAGCUAAGAGAAAGAAAGAAAGGGACAAGAUGUAAUACCAGAGGGCACACCCCCAGUGACCUGCUUCCUCCAACCAUGUCCACCUGUCUACAGUUUCCACCACUUUCCAGCAGUCUAUUCAAAUCAUCACUCCAGCAAAUAGAAUUGACCAAUAAGGUUAGUGUCUGCAUUA